rnacentral:rRNA from 1 species
AGGUCAAGCUACAAAGGGCGCAUGGUGAAUGCCUUGGCACUAGGAGCCGAAGAAGGACGCGAUAAGCUGCGAUAAGCCUUGGGUAGCCGCAAAUAGGCUGAGAUCCAGGGAUUUCCGAAUGAGGAAACUCACAUGGGUAACCCCAUGUAUCAUGCACUGAAUACAUAGGUGUAUGAGGGUAAACCCGGGGAACUGAAACAUCUAAGUACCCGGAGGAAGAGAAAGAAAAAUCGAUUUCCUA